rnacentral:lncRNA from 1 species
CAGGAUCAUUGUUUUAGUAAUUUCGCAUCCUUAAGGCCGAAGGUGACAGAGCAAGACCCUGUUUCUAAAUAUAUAUAUUAUAUAUUAUAUAUAUAAAAUAUAUAUAAUAUAUAAUAUAUAUAAAAUAUAUAAUAUAUAAUAUAUUAUAUAUAAUAUAUAUAAAAUAUAUAAUAUAUAUAAAAUAUAUAUAAUAUAUAUAUAAUAUAUAUAUUAUAUAUAAAAUAUAUAUUAUAUAUAAAAUACAAAUAUAUAUAAAAAUAUAUAAUAUAUAAAAUAAAAAAUAAAUAUAUAAAAAAAUAUAUAAUAUAUAAAAUAUACAAUAUAACAUAUAAAAUAUAUAUUAUAUAUAACAUAUAAAAUAUAUAUUAUAUAUAACAUAUAAAAUAUAUAAUAUAUAACAUAUAAAAU